UACAGAGGUCUCAAGCGUUGUUCGGAUUCAUUGGGCGUAAAGGGGGCGUAGGCGGCGCGGUAAGUCGGGUGUGAAAUCUCGGAGCUUAACUCCGAAACUGCAUUCGAUACUGCCGUGCUUGAGGACUGGAGAGGAGACUGGAAUUUACGGUGUAGCGGUGAAAUGCGUAGAUAUCGUAAGGAAGACCAGUGGCGAAGGCGGGUCUCUGGACAGUUCCUGACGCUGAGGCACGAAGGUCAGGGGAGCAAACGGG
rnacentral:rRNA from 1 species